CCCAACCCUCCUCCCCAACCGUCGCCGUAGCCCCCACAACCAAGCCAGCCAACCCCGAGCCCCUCCGCCCACGACCGCAACUUCCACCGCCGACUCCCUCGGCCGCAGGUUUCCACCAUCCUUGUCCUUGCCAAGGUCGACGGCGAGCACCACCUGUUCCCUGCGCCUAUUGCCGCUCCUCUGCUCCUUGGUCCUCGCACGAGCUCACGCGCAGCAUGUACGCAACACUCCCCCAUGGCGUCGUCGCCACGGCCUAUCCUCAGCGCCGCCCCUGCUGCUGGCCCUCACCGGCCGAGCGCCUCGCUGAUGGUCCGCCGCCCGACCUCCUUCAGCCUCUGUGCCCAUGGACGGCUUCCACCCCACAUCUUUGGUCAUCGAUGCCUCGCCUAGCCUGCGCCACGGCUCGUGGCCACUGCACCACCACCGCGUCGUAGGUUCCCCGUCCUUGCCCUAGGUCGCUGGCCUUGUUCUUCCUUGUCCAAGAGAUCUCGCCCAGCAUUGCCCCAGAUCUCGGCCAGCUCUUAAGCCUCCUCCAUCGCCUGUUGCUGCUUUGCUCCUCUGGCGGCCGCAGCAAGAACCAUUCCUGCUAUUGGCUCUCUCCUCCACUGACUACCAGCCAGAAAAAUCCAUCGCAAGGUAAGUCUCUCAUGAUGCAUUCUUUUUUUUGGCAGCAUGAUGUAUGUAUCGAUUGUAUGAGCCAGAAAAAACAUUUGAAUUGAAUUGAUGUAUGUACAGGAGCUUGGGGUCAUCUCUCAUGCAAUGUAUUUGAUUUGUUUUUUAUGUAUGACUGUAUGACAGAUUGACCCUCUCCCACGUCUGCAUUUUUUAAUUAUAGAUCUAAUUAACGAAUACAAUUAGUUUCUUUGGGAUGAUGCACCUAAAUACAGUCAAGUCUGCAGUGAUUAGAAAUUUUGGAUGCUUUGGGGCAUUUUCAGAUGAUCUAAUGUGCCUAUUCAGUUUAUGAAAAAGAAUAAUGUGCCUAUUUAGACCAGUUAUAACAGGAAUGUGUAUUAAGUGUAAAUAUCAAGGAACCACAACUGUUUGGGCAUAGGUUCUAGAAAACACAAUUUUUAGCGAAAACAAAUCACUUAACUGCAACAAUUGGGGCGGAGACCUCGAGCUAGCUAUCCUGGUGCAGGGGUUGCAUCGCUGCUUCAUCUCGUCCUUGACAGAACUACUCCACUUAGGCAACUAAAAACCCAUAAGGCACAUACUUGGUCUUUCUUCUACUUCAAGCACCUCUACUUUGAGCACGUUGCUCAGUCCAAGGCAAGUUCUUUGUCCAAUUUUCUGCUUACAAAUCCUGUCUAAUAUUUUAAACCAUUAUACUGUGUUAUGUGCAUGUGGGGGAGAGGAUGUGAAUGGAUCUGAGGAGCAGCAAGUUUACAUGGGUGGAUUUCUGCAGUGGAGCUCUUAUUUGAGCCUGAUACACUAUACUCUGGUGGCUAGUACUGUGGUUUGAGUCAUGUUCAGCACUCAUGUGAAGGUGAAUAUCUUCGGAAAUAAGAAUGACCCAGGCAGGAUAAUGUGACAUGGAUGACUGAUUAGAAGAUGCAAUGGCAGCGGGCGUGAAGUAAGAAAAAGAGCAGAGAGUGUUAGAAGAAAUAAUGAGGUGAUAAGGUCUCUAAAUGUUCUUUAUCUCACGGAAGUUAUAAUGUGCUAUGUAGCCAAAAUUUUAACAAAUAUAUAUGUGCAUGUACUCUAGGUUGGCCAUUUGAAACAUGUUCGAGAACAUGUUAUUAGAGUUAAAUGUUUAUUAAUAAAUUUCAUUGCUUCAGUGUACUCUUUUUGAUGAACUCUGAUAGUGAUUAUUGCCUUUCCACCUACAGAUCAUUUUAGGACUUUAGAAUUUUGACAGGAGCAAUGUUGGAUCUGCUGUCAUAGAUGUACAUACCGUGUGGUACAUUUUUUUCAUGCUCUAUUACUGUUUAGCUCUUGCACAUAUGUGAAAUAAUGUUUAGUUCUGAUUUGGUUUGAUGGAUGACAAGUGAGACCUAAAUCAAACAAUCAUGGACAUGGGUUUCUUGAAACAUAUCUGAAUUUUAGUUCUGAGUUCUUCGCAUGUUACACACAUAGGGAAGUAGAAGAAAAUUUGGUUAUAUCAUGUGUUAGGGGAUGUUCUAUGUGCAACUAGCUAUUCCUAAAUUGGUCCAAGACUUCAUUUUCUUCAAGCAUGAAUAAGAAGAAACAAUUAAAAUGGUGAGUGGAGAGAUUGAUGCUGUGAUGCAGCUGAUGCUACUCCUUUUCCCGUCCUCUGCUUUGGUGAUCCUCCUCUACACGCUAUGCUGGUGGUGCUGCUGCCGAGCUGCCCCUCUUCUCCUCAGCAUUAUAAACAAGGCCUUGAACACAUCUCCUGAAGGUUUGACAAGAUCUUGAAGGUGCUGGAGGUUUGGCAAGAUCUGCAAGGCGUCCAUACUUAAUUUUUCUGCUCAUUUUGCUGCUUAUUUUAGCACAUAAGCCGAUGUAUGCUCAUUUUGGAUGUGUAACACAUCUAGGAAUAUGUCUUUUUUUCACUUUUGUGGCACAACAUCCUUAAUGUAUCAAGAAACAUGUAUGGUCGUUUAUGAAUGAAAUGAAACUUAAGGUUU